rnacentral:rRNA from 1 species
AGCGAACGCUGGCGGCAGGCUUAACACAUGCAAGUCGAACGCCCGUAGCAAUACGGGAGUGGCAGACGGGAGAGUAACACGUGGGAACGUGCCCUUCAGUUCGGAACAACCCAGGGAGACUUGGGCUAAUACCGGAUACGUCCGCAAGGAGAAAGAUUUAUCGCUGAAGGAUCGGCCCGCGCCUGAUUAGCUAGUUGGUGGGGUAAUGGCUCACCAAGGCGACGAUCAGUAGCUGGUCUGAGAGGAUGAUCAGCCUCACUGGGACUGAGACACGGCCCAGACUCCUACGGGAGGCAGCAGUGGGGAAUCUUGGACAAUGGGCGCAAGCCUGAUCCAGCCAUGCCGCGUGGGUGAUGAAGGCCCUAGGGUUGUAAAGCCCUUUCGGCGGGGAAGAUAAUGACGGUACCCGCAGAAGAAGCCCCGGCUAACUUCGUGCCAGCCGCCGCAGUAAUAC